rnacentral:rRNA from 1 species
GAUCAUGGCUCAGAACGAACGCUGGCGGCAGGCCUAACACAUGCAAGUCGAGCGAACCCUUCGGGGUUAGCGGCGGACGGGUUAGUAACGCGUGGGAAUAUACCCUUUGGUACGGAAUAGCCUCGGGAAACUGAGAGUAAUACCGUAUGUGCCCUUCGGGGGAAGGAUUUAUCGCCAAAGGAUUAGCCCGCGUUGGAUUAGAUAGUUGGUGGGGUAAUGGCCUACCAAGUCUACGAUCCAUAGCUGGUUUGAGAGGAUGAUCAGCAACACUGGGACUGAGACACGGCCCAGACUCCUACGGGAGGCAGCAGUGGGGAAUCUUAGACAAUGGGCGCAAGCCUGAUCUAGCCAUGCCGCGUGGACGAUGAAGGCCUUAGGGUUGUAAAGUCCUUUCAGAUGGGAAGAUAAUGACGGUACCAUCAGAAGAAGCCCCGGCUAACUCCGUG